rnacentral:rRNA from 1 species
UACGUAGGGGGCAAGCGUUGUCCGGAUUUAUUGGGCGUAAAGAGCGUGUAGGCGGCUAGGUAGGUCCGUUGUGAAAACUCGAGGCUCAACCUCGAGACGUCGAUGGAAACCAUCUAGCUAGAGUCCGGAAGAGGAGAGUGGAAUUCCUGGUGUAGCGGUGAAAUGCGCAGAUAUCAGGAAGAACACCCGUGGCGAAGGCGGCUCUCUGGUACGUGACUGACACUGAGACGCGAAAGCGUGGGGAGCGAACAGG